rnacentral:miRNA from 14 species
CAUGUGUGUGUGUGCCUGUGUGCAUGUGCUCAUGUACACGCAUACACACACACACACACACACACAUACACACACACACACAUACACACACA